ACUAGUGAGGGACAGAACCAGGACUCAGACUCAGGUCCAUGGGCCUGGAUCACUGG
ensembl:miRNA